UACGGGGGGAGCAAGCGUUGUUCGGAUUUACUGGGCGUAAAGGGCGCGUAGGCGGCGUGACAAGUCACUUGUGAAAUCUCCGGGCUUAACUCGGAACGGUCAAGUGAUACUGUCGGACUAGAGUACAGAAGGGGCAACUGGAAUUCUCGGUGUAGCGGUGAAAUGCGUAGAUAUCGAGAGGAACACCUGCGGCGAAGGCGGCUCACUGGCCCGGUACUGACGCUGAGGUGCGAAAGCGUGGGGAGCAAACAGG
rnacentral:rRNA from 1 species